rnacentral:rRNA from 1 species
UGGGGAAUAUUGGACAAUGGGCGAAAGCCUGAUCCAGCCAUGCCGCGUGUGUGAAGAAGGUCUUCGGAUUGUAAAGCACUUUAAGUUGGGAGGAAGGGCAUUAACCUAAUACGUUAGUGUUUUGACGUUACCGACAGAAUAAGCACCGGCUAACUCUGUGCCAGCAGCCGCGGUAAUACAGAGGGUGCAAGCGUUAAUCGGAAUUACUGGGCGUAAAGCGCGCGUAGGUGGUUUGUUAAGUUGGAUGUGAAAUCCCCGGGCUCAACCUGGGAACUGCAUUCAAAACUGACUGACUAGAGUAUGGUAGAGGGUGGUGGAAUUUCCCGUGUAGCGGUGAAAUGCGUAGAUAUAGGAAGGAACACCAGUGGCGAAGGCGACCACCUGGACUAAUACUGACACUGAGGUGCGAAAGCGUGGGGAGCAAACA